UAUUUUAACGAAUAUUUCCAGGAACAGCUGCUAGCUAUUUUUAUUUUUCUCUUUUACAGCUGAUAGGGUGCCAGGCAUUAGAAACUUUCUCUCCAAUCCUCACCAAGUCUCGGUUUUACCAAAGCAGAAACUGAGGUUAAGAUCACCUCCCGCUGAUCAGUGCCACAGCCCCCACCGAAGGAGAGAAGGAGCACCAGAGAGAAGGCACACGACCCAGGGCAGAAGUAUGGCCAAACGAUCCCCCCACUCUUUCACCCUCUCCAGGGGUGCCUCUCAGAGGUAGGCUUCUCCUAGCUGCAGAAGUGGGACAGGCUGUGGGGGAGUAGAGGUGGGUAGGCUUGAAGCUGGGGUCCGGGGACCCCUAGCGGGCAGGAAAGGGCUGUAAUCUGGCUCCCUGGCGACCUGUCCUGAGCUCCCGCUGCAAGGUCGCCCCGUGGCAGCCCCGACAGGCCAUGCGUCCCUCGACACAAGUCCCAUUAUAUUGUAUUUAUGUUUCAUUUUAUUGGCUUUUUUCCCUCUCUUAUUAUUGUCUCACUCUGGG
rnacentral:lncRNA from 1 species